rnacentral:misc_RNA from 1 species
CUAAGAAGGCACCAUAAUUCUGCAUCAUUGAGACUAUGGAAUCAGUAAUUACCAUUCUGCUCAGAAACAAGAUAUUGCAUAGAAUUAGAUAAAUAGCAAGAAAACAAACAAUGUAGGAGGCUACAAAAUAUAAAUGAAACUACCAAUAGUGAAUUACAACCAACAAAAUCUAAUAUCAUUGUUUAGGAUGUAUUUUGGCAUGAAUCAAUGCUGAGAAUCUAGUCAAAUCAUGAAGAAUAAAGAAUAAUGGGGUUCAUAUUCAUGAAUAAGAAACUUUUGAACUGCCAGAUUUAAACAGAAAUACCUUCUUCACCUCGUGUUAUGCAUUCUCUAAAAAGGAAAGUUUGUUGGUACAAAAAUGGAUAAUUAACAUAAGAACAUCAGCAGAUAAAAUGAAGAAACAAAAAGGAUUGGAAGAGCAAAAGAAUGAAUAGAGUAGCAUACUUCCCCAAUUUUAUGGUUGGUUAGGGUAAUGGGGAAGCAUGACAGGCAAGUAAGUUAUAGAAAACCAACUAAUAGAUAUUGUGACACAACAUCAUUCCAAUGGAAGUUUAGCUUCGUUUCCUAUGUCAAGAAGCCACCUGCAAUGAGAGAGUGGGAGAGGAGGACAAUUUUGAGACAAAUAAUUUUUUUUUCUUUUGCUUCUGUUAGACACUCCCUUGACAGCAUCCUCUGUUUCCUAAGUUAUUUUACCAUUGAACCAAGCACUAUCAUCAAAGACAAACUCUUUUGCUGCAAUGAGAGAGGUACUCUCAAGAAAGUUAGCGGCAGGUUGCUCUCAUGAAGCAGUAAAAUGACAAUCUGAU